rnacentral:lncRNA from 1 species
CUCCUGCCAACUUGGCAGCUCAUCGCUGCUGUUACUAUCAACACCUCCAAGGGAAAAGGGAGAGGAGUCAGCUCUGAUCGCCUGGCGCACUGUGCAGCAAAUUCAUGUCAGAGCCAGCCUUGGAAUGUCUCCCAAGCUCCCAAGGCUCCUGGUGAGGAGGAAAAGGAGCCUUUCUCCCAGAUGUGAAACUGAUCCUAAGACCCCCUGUAAUUUCCUGCUGAAAAUCUCCACCAAGAAACACAGCCACAGCCACAGUUCUUCCUGUGGGGGAAAAAUGAUGUCAUCAGCUGAAAGUGAGAAGCAAGGAGAACUGCGUGCAGGCCUGAAAAGAAAGGAGGCGUGAUGCAGUCAUCUGCCAGAGGGAGUAGGAGAGGCGACUUGCCUGGGGAAAACAGUGUAGGAUUGCUGGGCAGCAAUAUGGCAGCAAUGUGGUCCUCUGAGGAACGGCCACGUGAGGACACAGCAAGAAAGUAGCCAUCUACAAUUCAGGAAGAGUCUUCACCAGAAACCAAAUUGGACAGAAUCUUGGUCUUAGACUACUAGUCUCCAGAGCUGUGAGAAAAAAAAAAUCCAUGCUCAAGCCACCCACUCUAUAGCAUUUCGUUAUGGCAGCCAAGCUGAUGAGUACAAGCAUCAAAGAACUUGCAGACAUAUUUUAAUGUCACUACAAGGCCCCAGGGUUUAUGUAAGUAUAUUUAUCAUGCUGGACCAUGGAUUAUAAGCUGAGAAGUGAGGGAGGUGACAGCAUGGAGGAAUGCGUGAGUGAAAGGACUGGGGAACCAGUGUGUGGAAGGAAGUUCUCUGAGGGGAAGAGUGUAGGAGUGGGUGUACAAGGGAAGCAAGUUGAACAGAUAUGAGGUAGUGGUCAGAGAAAGCUGCUUGAAAUGGAGAUCUUGGACAUGGCACAGUUACUGCUGGUGAUAAGAUCUAGCAUUAGAUGAUGGGAGUGGGCAGCUGAGGCAGGCAGGGAGGGACAGGUCACUGGUGGUGAGAAGAUUAAUUAACUGGAGGCAGAAUGUUGGAGGGGUCAUCUAAUAGACACGGACCAGGAAUGAUGCUGAGUAUGGUGAUGAACAGACUGAUAGUGAGCCAGGUGCUCAUGUCUUUCACAAAUGGGGGAGUGAUGGGGAGAGAGUAGAUGAUUGCCACAGGGAGCAGUAGCAGGACAGAGCCUGACAGCCAGUGAGACACAAAGGGACAGUCCAGGUUUUAAUUGAGGGGGUGGGAGUUACUACUGGGUUGGCUAUUAAGGAGCCAUAUGCACAACCAAGUUAGGAGGAGAAGCAGAGGAUCUGAGUGCAUGCGUAUGCACACACACACACAAAUGCAUGUGCAUGGCAGAUGGUAAUAGCAUGUAUCUCAUAGGGCUGUUAAAAGGACCAACUGAGCUAAUACUUAGUGCUAAGACAGUGCCUGUGUGGGGUGUUUUCUGACACCAACCAACUCUCCAACAUCAACUGGGUGUCCAGCAAUUCAAUUCAAUUCAGUUCUGACACUACCGGGAGUUAGCAUCAGUUCCCACAAGUUAAAGGGAUCAAUCCCCCCACUUCCAGUGCCAGCUGCAAAUAACAAGCUACCCACACUUCUGCCCAGAUGACUACAAAUUUAGGCAUCCCCACACCACCCCCGAAGAGGUUCAGUAAUUUAUUAGGACAACUUGCAUUUAUUGGUUUAUUAUAAAGGAUACAAAUAAACAGCCAGAUAAAGAGCUACACAGGGCAAGAUCUGAAUGGAUGCCGAGUAUAGAAGCCUCUGUCUUCUGCAUUCACCAACCUUGGAACUCUUUGAAUUUCUUUGUUCAAAAG